rnacentral:rRNA from 1 species
AGGAUUAACGCUGGCGGCGUGCCUAACACAUGCAAGUCGAACGAGGUAGCAAUACCUAGUGGCAGACGGGUGAGUAACGCGUGGUCAACCUACCGUUGAGUGGGGGAUAACUAGCCGAAAGGUUAGCUAAUACCGCAUACGAGUCUCGGGGGCAUCCCUGGGCCUUAAAAGGAGCAAUCCGCUCGAUGACGGGACCGCGUCCCAUUAGCUAGAUGGUGGGGUAAUGGCCUACCAUGGCACCGAUGGGUAGCUGGUUUGAGAGAGCGACCAGCCACACUGGGACUGAGAAACGGCCCAGACUCCUACGGGAGGCAGCAGUGAGGAAUUUUCCGCAAUGGGCGAAAGCCUGACGGAGCGACGCCGCGUGUGGGAAGAAGGCCUUCGGGUCGUAAACCACGUGUCGAAGGGGACGAUAAUGACGGUACCCUUGGAGGAAGCCCCGGCUAACUAUGCGCCAGCAGCCGC